AUCAAAAGAACAAUGCAUAAAAAGCGUAAAUAACGAUUACAUUAACAUAUUACACUUCGAAUAGACAUAAUGUCUUAACCUUUAUUCAUCAAAGUACAGCGAAACAAGGAUAUCCAUCCACAGGAAGAUGACCGGGGGUAUCACUAGACUAGCAUCCAUGGAGCUCAGCAUCAUAACUUCAUCUGCAAACUUUUGAUCAAAAUUAAGCAAGGGUGAGCUCACUUAUGGUCGGGGCUCAGCAAGUGGGGGAAAAACUAAUGCAAGGUAACAAGGUGAGGCUGAGGUUGAGCAGUAAGCAUUUUAGUUGGUCAACAUUUUAUUAACAACACAUGUCUUAAUAAUAAGUGUGAAUCACAAGUAUUCCCAUUAAGCAAAUGUAUAAGAGUAUAUCAAAAACACUUAAGUGAAACCACUUAAGCAAAACCAUUGGUAGAUCAUCGGAUCUCGAUUUAUUUCCAUCUUCAAGUUCAAUUAUCAUGUGAGGAGUCCAGGCUGCUCAUAACCGUGAGCACGGCUGAUAUAUCAGUUUUACACUCUGCAGAGGUGGUACAACUUUACCCACAAGUCGUGUAUCCCCUCUAGCCUGGGUCGGCCAAAACCCGUAAACACUUCCGAGGUGAGUGGCUAGGGAUCCACUAUGAGGCUUUCACAAAAUACACUUAAAACGAAGCAACCCGCUAAGGUUUCUAAAGACGAUGGUGGUGGCCCCCUGGGUGAGGUACCUUAGCCAAGAAUACGUCCCCAUGUUAACGUGGGCUGCCAACACCUACCGCUCCCCCUCUUGCCCAUAUUUCAGGUAAGGUUGCCAGGCACUAAGCAUAUAAAGCUAAUUACCAAAGCCAGAGCCAUGAUAGCACUCGUGGUUGCACUGUUUUUCCCAGGUGGUCACUCCAUGUUCCAAUUAAUAUGCAAUAAUCUUGUUUAACCAUCGGGUUAACAACAAUAAUGUAAACUUACCAUUUUGGAACAUUAAUAUCAUAAGCGGGAGUGAUUGCAUAAAGUUAAGUUGUAGCAAUAGCAUAGCUACGAAGGUAAAGUAUAAUUCCCAGGUUUGAUCAAGGAAUAAGGUUGGAAAGGUUAUCUAAAUAGGUAACCCGUCAAAUUAUGCAUAUAUAUCCAAAAGAAUAAACUUUAUUAAAUGUAUUGUUUGGGAUCAAACAGAGUAUGCAGAGGGAGAAAUCCACUUGCCUUGCUUAUUGAAAACUUGAGGUUCUUCCACGGAUCGGAAUAGAUCUUGAUUCUUAACUACUAGAUCAACCACUGAAUAUCACACAAACAAACAAGAAGAACAAACACCACUCAAUAAUAUACAACAUUCACCAUACGUGAAGCUAAAAGAAAGCCUAAUAAAAGAACGUUCGCUUUUCAAAAACAUUACACGCAAAGGUUAUAAUAAAAAGGUAUUCCUUUCAAAAAUGUGUGAUCUAUACGUUAUAAAACAAGACAUGAGCUUAAAAGUAUAUUAAUUAAAAUCUACAAAUAUUAAGUUCACCAAUUUAAUCUUUUAUAAAUCGUCAUAUGUGAUAUGUCUAAGAUUAAGGGUUUAUAAGAUGUUAAAACAUGUUAUAACAAUAUUAAACCUUUUUAACCUUUUAGAAAAGAUAUAAGUUAUAAAUCUAAGGUUAAUGCGUUAUGAAAUACCUUAUUAAUUUUAGAAGCAUUAUGGAACUCAUUAUAAUUCAUUGUUAAACGUUUAGUUAUGAUAAACUAAGAUAUAAGUCUAAAUAGUUUUUAUGUGAAAAGAUCAUUAUUAUUAAACACCUAUUUUAUGAAAAACUAGGUUAUAGGCCUUUAAGUGGAUUUUCACGUAAAAGAUAAUAAACAAAUAACUAUCUUUUAAUUUCAUUAGAAAACACAUAGCCUAUAUUAGUAUAUUCGAAGUCAAUGUAUAAGUAAUAUUUUAAGUUAUAAAAGAACUUAAACUCUUAUUACUUUAUUUUAUUCCUUUAGGAAAAUCUAAGUGAUUCUUAUAUAAUGUGAACUAAAUUCUAUGAAAUCAUUAAUCAUGCCAUAAAUCUAGUUAAGAACAAAUUGACUGUAGGUUUAAUUAAUAAGUUAUGAUAAAUGAUAAUUAAUCUAUUAAUUAUCUUUAAUUCUAUUGUAGGAACAAAUGAUCUAAAUGAUCUAAUUUAUUAGAAAGGAAAAUAUAUUCGACAUUAUAUCACUUCAGUUUAGUUAUGAGGGUAUAAGCACCUAAUUAAGUCAUUUUAACAUUUUUAGGAAACUCUAUUUUUUUCUUAGUGGGAAUAAAGAAUGUUUGUGCAUAAAAACAUGUAACAUUUUGAUUAUGAAUCACACUUUAUCAGCAAAGAUAAUCUUAUAAUUAUUUACCUAAUGUUUUUAUUUACGAAAGGAUGAUCUACAAUUCUUUUUAAUUUCAUAUUUAGAAAUCUAUGUAUAAAAUGAUUAUAGCAGCAUAAAUCAAUUAAUUUACUAAAUUAUGUGAAUUGUUUAAAAAUACUAUUUAAAAUUGUUUAACACAUAAUUAUGAAACUAACAAAAGCAUUCUUAUUUUAUUUGAUAUACAAUUAUUCAGUUAAAGAAAAUAUAAACGUCGCAGGGAUCUAAACGAUAUUAAAUAUGGAAAUCAAAGGGUAGCUAACAAAAAAAAUAGAUCUCGUCUUCUACCUUCAGCACGUGGCCACGGUACAUGGAGCGGAUCGACGGUUUUAGCGGUGCGGACGAGCUAGGCGCAAGGACGCAUUUUCCUGGCGAUGAUGACGGUGUUCGGUGUGGCGAUGGCACGGCGGCAGCAGCAGGCGCAGAGAAGAACGUGUAGGAAUGCGACGAGGCUCUUCGGCGGGGAGCACCGGCGACGUCAAGCGACGCAGCAGCAAUCACGGCGACGACGGCGAGCGGUGGUGCUGCUGCGCGUGUGGGCAGGGGUUCUUGAUGUGGGACGGGGCUCCGAUGCAUAUGUCUAGGCACAGGGAGAAACUAUCGGCGAGGAGACAAAGACAUGGCGUCGGUAUGGCACGAGCAGCAGAAAACGACGCAGGACAGUGGAGCGGCAGUAUAGGGCAGUCGACGAGCGCGAGCAGAGAAACAAUUGGACGACGGCGCAACAGCAUGGCACGAGAGCGAGUGUGGCGCAUGAGAACGAGCGAG
rnacentral:lncRNA from 1 species